AUACCUUUCUCGGCCUUUUGGCUAAGAUCAAGUGUAGUAUCUGUUCUUAUCAGUUUAAUAUCUGAUAUGUGACCCAAUGGGUCACACGAUAUUAAAUUACUUUUUUGAGGGGAGAAGCCACUUCAAUAGCUUGCUAUUAGGCUUCUCAUGUGUCGCUUGUGCGUUGCACUAUUGCAUGAGUUAGGUACACCCCAC
rnacentral:snRNA from 1 species